CUGGAAGCAACUAAAAAUUCUGUGGAUAAAAUAGCCAUGAAUUCCAAGGUGACAACAUAACUCAAGAAGCACUAGAAAUUCUCUGGACAAAAUAGCCAUUCCAAGGACAACAUAACUCAACCACAGCUAAGAUCAUCAUCAGCUCUUUCAAAUUCGACGGUCAAUUUCCGCAGAAAAGAAAUGGAGCUAAAACCUGGCCUUUCAGCUCUGGUCACUGGUGGAGCUUCUGGAAUUGGUAAACCAUCAUCUACUGCUAUAUUAAUCUUUGUCAUCAAACUUGAACAGCAAGAAGACUGGUUCUGCUUUGACUCUUAAUAUGCAGGAAAAGCUCUUAGCUUGGCUCUUGGAGCGAAGGGAAUAUUUGUGACGGUGGUCGAUUUAUCUGAAGAAAAGGGGAAGGAAGUUGCAUCCCUUGUUCAGAAGACGAAUGCCAAUUUCCAUACCAGUUUAGGUUUUCCAUCUGCCUUGUUUGUGAAAUGCGACGUGACUGAUACAGGUAAGUCAACUAGUUGUACAUAAGACUGAUUUAGGAAUGAAUACCACUCUGCACAGUGAGACCAAUCAUUCUACAGGGAGCCAAAAAAGUACCAAAGGUAUGUAUAGAGAUAGUAAUUAACAACAUAUCCGAUGGGCAAUGGGUUAUGUUGUGUUAGGAUAAUAAACAUGUCAAGAAUGCUCAACUCAAAUCCGACUUAUUUAAUAACCGUAUCGUGCUGAGUUCGAGUCGUGUUAAAUAGGUUAUUCAACAAGUUACCUAAUUAAUAACUUGUUUAACAGAUGAUCAGGAUUGCUAUAUUUGAUUUCAUAUCAUAAUUUAACUAAAAAAGUAAUUCUUAUCAGAAUCAAAUAAGAAUGUUCUCUAAAGCCUUGGAAUAUAUUGACUUGAAUUGAUGACAUGCCUCUAGUUUAUAUUCUCCAUAUGUGUGAUAGCAACUAGCAGCUCUUUUUUUAAGGGGUCAAUAAGUGGUAGCAACUAGUAACUAGCAAGCUAAAAAGGUAGACAAAAAAGUUUAUUAUGUUAUUUUAUUUUUUUCAGAAUCACUUGCAUAAUUGAGUAAAAAUUAAAAACAAAUAAAAAGAAGGGAUUUUUAUAGAAAUGUCACAUGUACUUAUACCCCAGUUUCAAAUUGUCAUCUUAAAGAAAAGUUUAAGAGAAAUAUCACCUUAAUUUUUCAAAAUCCAUGAUUUGUCAUCUGACUUUAGCACCAUCCAAUUUUCCACAAAAAAAAAAAAAAAAUCAUGACCAAUGUGUUUUAGGGAAAGAGAGAGGUCUUUUUUUUUUUGGUCCUUGAAAAUGAAAAGGCUAAAAUACCUUUAAAAAUGGAUGGAAAAUUGGAUGGUCUUAAAGUUAGAUGGCAAAUCACGGAUUUUGAAAAAUUAAGAUGACAUUUCUCAUAAAUUUUUCUUUAAUGUGACAAUUGAAACUGAAGUAUAAGUUCAGGUGACAUUUCUACAAAAAUUCCAUAAAAUAAUACUUAUUACAAAACCCUGCUGUCAAAUAUUAAUUCCUUUAUGUACAUAUAUUUCACAAGGGUCUUAUUUUUCAAUGAGUAAAAACGUUUGGGCAUAGAAAAGAAGAAAAAAAUCAGAAGAUUUUGUUUUUGAGGCAUGUUUGUUUUGAAAUCUGUACAUGAAUCUGCAUUUCAUACUCACAACUAGAAAUUUGAAGAGGCUUGGUUCUCAUUCAUUCUAUAUGUGCAGUUUUACUAAUUUGGAUUAGAUGGUACCUUUCAGAUAAUUACAUUAUUCUUUAUGUGAUGGACAGGAAAUAUAGCUGCUGCGUUUGAGAAACAUUUAGCAACAUUUGGAGGAUUGGAUAUCUGUAUUAACAGUGCAGGCAUCAUUAAUCCCAUACCAUUCCAUAAGGAUCAAACUGACGGUACUCGCUCAUGGAGACUAACAGUUAACUUGAAUCUGAUUGCAGUUAUUGAUUGCACUCGCCUUGCGGUACGUUUGAACUUGGACUAUGUUUUCUUGAUACCCGUACCUUCCAUAUCUGCUAAUGUGAGUCUGCUGCAUAAAGUUCUAUUCAGGGCCAUUGCCUAUCAAAGUUUAGUCCAUAGUGAUGAGUGAGAAUAUGUUGUCAUUCCUGAUGUUUUUGUCGUAUCAAUUUGUGCUUCUGAAAGUGAAUAAUAAACUGCUCUUCGUCUUAAUUCUUGGUUAAUUGAUCUUCGUCUCUCUCUGUUAUUAUGCUUCUGAACUUAUAUAUUUUUUACUACAUUAGUGUGUCUCAUCUCUCAUGAAUCAACUAUGUUUCAAACAGAUUAAAACCAUGCAAGCUGUGAAAAAACCUGGCGUAAUUAUCAAUAUGGGUUCUGCUGCAGGUCUUUACCCGCUCGACGGUGAUCCAAUCUACUCUGGCUCAAAAGGUUUGUUCUACGCAGUAGCUUUUGUCUCUGAUUUCCUGUCCGAAUCUGUUUUUUUUGGUCAGUCUAUACCAUUUUUUUAUGAAGCAUUAAAAGAAUACAGAUAAACUUAAGUACACCUAACAUGUGCGUGCAGAGAUAUUUGUAAGUGCCACUUUCAUGGAUAAAUUGACAAACAUAGAAUAAUGUUUUGUAGGCGGUGUUGUUCAGUUUACUAGAUCUCUGGUUCCCUACAAGCAUAAAGGGAUUCGCAUCAAUGUGCUUUGUCCUGAAGUAAGAUUGUAACUUAAACCCAACUGAAAUAAGACUACCAAUAUCUUGAGAAAAAAAAUAUUGCCAACUUCUUUGAUGCAGUUUGUUGAAAGAACUGACAUGGGCUUAAAGGCGGGUUCUAAAUUUGUUAGUAUAAUGGGCGGCUUUGUCCCUAUGGAAAUGGUAGUGAAAGGUAUGCUUUCUCUUUCUCGUUUCUUUUGAUGAAGGUCAAAGUCUUUCUUUUAGAUUGUAUAGAUGCUAUUGUUUAUUGUUUAACCCACCAUGUUUAUUGAAUAAAAGCUGUUAUGCAUUUUAGGUGCUUUUGAGCUUAUUACUGAUGAGAGUAAAGCUGGUUCAUGCCUAUGGAUUACCAAUCGAAGAGGCAUGGAAUAUUGGCCAACUCCCGCAGAAGAAGCAAAAUACUUGAUUAGCCAGACAAAAAGAGCUGUGACAAAUGCUCCAUUCCAAGCUCCUUUGAAUCUUCAACUUCCACUAAGUUUUGAGAAAUUGUUAGUAAUAAUACAUCAAACAUUAUUUUCCCCCCUUUCCACAUAGUCAUGAGGCGAUACACGUUCAUUUUCUUAUACGGUGGGAUAUAUAUUAUUGUCAAUCCAUAAAUUUAAUUUGUUUAGCCUAGUCAGAAUUUUAUCUUUUGUUGGUGUAGGCUGAAAAUGAAGCUUUGCAUUUCAUCAAGAGCCCUUACAUAAAUCUGUUCACUGUAGUCCACUUUUCCUCACUUGACUUGACAAAAUCCUUUGAUUGCAAAAUCUUUGUGAAAGAAAAACUUUCUGACCGUUAUUACAUUGCUUAUGUGUAAAAUGCUCAAUAUAAAGUAUGGCUUCGGUCUUGUAGCCCCGACACCUCUUCCAUUCAUGUUUCAUUUAUUAUCUGUUCAAACGGUUCUCAUAUUUCGCUUAACAUUAUAUGGCAGAAGCUAGCCUAAACUAACUUUUGUUUCAAGUGGUUUUGUUUUUAGUAUUUGGUAGUUAAUUGUAGUUUUUUUUCUCCAGAGUUGUUCACACCUUGAGUCACAAUUUUCGUAAUGCUACCGGCGUAGUGCGCACACCAUUGAGAUUACCCAUUAAACCAGACCACGUUCUUGUGAAAGUCAUAUAUGCUGGCGUAAAUGCUAGUGAUGUAAGUUUAUGAUGUGAAAAUUGUUGCCGAGUAUAAUGAAAUUGAAGAUUUCUGUCUCUCUUUGUAAAGUAAAUUCUACAUUCUUCCUCUGCACAUUAAUAUAUGCUCUAACAAGGACUUAUUUUUGGUAGGUAAAUUACAGCUCAGGACGUUAUUUUAGUGGAAGCAACAAAGAUCUUGAAUCCCAGCUUCCAUUUGAUUGUGGUUUUGAGGUGCAGGACAAUAUAUAAUUUUUGACAUUCUUAUAAUCAUUCAUGCAGUUGAGGGCCUUUAGGUUUAUGAAGUUAUUGCUAUCUAUGAUGCCUAGUUGAUAAAGUAUGUCGCAAUGUUGCAGGCUGUGGGGAUAAUUGCAGCAGUUGGGGAAUCUGUCACUAACUUGAAAGUUGGUACUCCAGCUGCAAUCAUGACUUUUGGAAGUUAUGCAGAAUUCAUGAUGGUACACUGUCUGAAGAAUACUAUUCUUUUUUUCUUUCGAUGUUUACUAAGAAGUGCUUUCAUAUGUAAUGUCAGGAAUGUUUCCAAGUUUACACCAAUCAUGAUUCUAUUCUAUUUUUUGAUAUCUUUCUUUUGUUUAUUUUUACUAUCAAUUACUAGUGUAAUAACUGAUGAGCUUUGCACUUGAGUUAGGUGCCUUCAAAACACAUCCUUCCUGUGGAAAGACCAGAUCCAGAAGUUGUCGCUAUGCUUACUUCAGGGCUGACUGCAUCAAUCGCUCUAGAAAAGGUUAAAUGUAUGCGUAUGUGUAGUCGGAAAAUAAUGUGUAGUCCAAAAACUGUUAGUGCACAUAUAUGUAUUUGUGUAUCAGAAUUGCAUAUUAUUUCCUUCGCUGAAUUCUUGGUGGUCACAUUCAGAUGAUAACGUCGUGCCCUUUUUGUAAUAACUUUCUAGCCAUUGUGCAUUAUAUUCUUUGUUCUGUAGCCUUCAUUAUUUUUAAUAGUUUGUGUUAGAUUAUUCACUGAGACGCACCACUUGUCUUACAAUUUCUUUUAUUAUGAACCUCUAGGCGGGAGCGGGACAACUGGAAUCUGGAAAAGUAGUUCUUGUUACUGCUGCUGCUGGAGGGACUGGACAAUUUGCAGUCCAGGUUUGGUUUCAAAUAUAGGAAUAGCUCUUUAUGACAUCCAUGCUUAGAAGAAGACGAAGAAGAAGAAGGGUAGAUGAAAUGAUUAGUUUCCCAAUUUAUUUGUUAGUUUCCUAGGUUCUCUAGUUUUCCAGAUUUUAGCAGGCACAAAAGCACUGCCCUAGGGUUUAGGCACAAAAGCACCAGCAGGGCAUUUAAUUUAGGCUACCGCUUUCUUUCUUUCAGAAAAUCCACUUCAACCUCAGUUUCUUAAAGAUUAUGGGAUCCAAUCACUCAGGAAAAAGUUAUAACCUAGUUUGUGGUGCAUUUGGGGAUUGAAUUUAAACAGAGUUGGAAAGGCUAGAAAACUAUGAUACUAUUGUUCCUUACCAUUAUGGAAGAAGACUCAGGUAAAAUAUGCACUUCCUCGGGAAUGAAAAAAAAUUGAUCAUGACUUUUUUCCAACUACAUUUAGAAAAUAAAAGGUGUAUUCCUUAUGUCCUAAGAUUGUAAUCCAAAAGACCACCCUAGAUUUCUUUCCUAGUUCCCUUCGGGAAGGAUUGUCCGCCCUUUUUUUAUUAUUUUUUUGAUAUAAAAAAAUUUGUUUAAUUUUGCCAGUUGAAUUAUGACGUCAUAUGAUGUCAACCUUGUCUUUCUUUGCUCAAACAUUACUCUUAGUAGUCUUUUAUACGCACAGCUUGCAAAGCUAGCUCGAAAUACUGUGGUUGCAACUUGUCGAGGUGAAGAAAAGGCGAAGCAUUUGAAAGAAUUGGGGGUGGAUCGAGUCAUAGACUAUAAAGCUGAAGAUAUCAAGACAGUAUGUCUUUUGAAUCUUUCCCGUUGAUUUACGAAAUUGUUUCUUAGUUGUAUUUGGUGGAAUGGUAAGGUGAAAAUGGACCCAUAAUGGAUAAAGGAACACGCACAGUAAGAACUAAAUGUCUUUUGAUCUGAUUCAGUUUAAGGAGCAAUGCAAUAAUUUGAUUCUAAAGUCAUCAUUUAAGUACAAAGCAUGGGGUUAUUGAUAACUUUCAUUUCUCUAGGUUCUAAAGAAGGAGUUUCCCAAAGGCGUGGACAUUAUCUAUGAGUCUGUAGGUGGUGACAUGUUCGAUUUGUGCCUGAAUGCUCUUGCGGUUUAUGGACGACUCAUAGUGAUCGGAAUGAUUUCUCAGGUUGUGUAUUCAUGCGAGCAUAAAAGUUGUUACACUUACACUAUGAUCGUCUUUCUUGACAAUUGAUAUACUGACAUUUGAAUAGAAUUAUUGAAAUAUAGAAAAAUAUUAAUUGAAAUCAAUAUAAGCUCCAAUCAACAGUCUUAACCAUGCAUGCAGAGGUAUAAAAUUUCUAGGAUGGAUUGAUCACAUUCACAUGGAUAUGUAUGUACAGGUUCAUACUUUCCUGAAGAUAUAUAUCACUUAACUAGUAUUUUUCACUUGCCUUUUUCUUGUCUGCUCUUGACUUUCGUGGGUAUGACGUUGUUGGUUUUCAUUUAUUCCCAUAACAUGAUUCAUUCUGGACUCAGUAUCAAGGAGAGCAUGGGUGGAAGCCAUCAAACUACCCAGGACUUUGCGAAAAGCUCUUAGCGAAAAGCCAAACUCUGGUAUGUAGCUGCUAAAUGCUAAAUUGGUCCUCAUUUAAUAGACCGUUAUUUACCUCAUUUAUCCCCUUGAGUUUAAAUGUCAAGAAAUCGAAAACUAGUUGAUAUAUGACAAUGCUAAUCUUUUCAGGCUGGUUUCUUCCUAUUGCAAUACAGUCACUUCUGGCAAGAACAUCUGGAUAAACUAUUUCAUCUUUUCUCUAUGGGAAAGCUGAAGGUAAAUAUAUCUACAUAAAGCACCAACUAAAUUUACUGCUAGUUCUUAUCCAUGAACUUCUUGAACUCGAAUCAUCGGUGUUCCUGAUUGUAUGCCGGCCGCCUUCAAUUUUAUAGGUUUCUUUAGACCCAAAACAAUUUUUGGGUGUACAUUCUGUUGCGGAUGCCGUGGAAUAUCUCCAUUCUGGUAAAAGUGUAGGAAAGGUAAUUAUUCUGUCAUAUCCUUAACUUCUCUCACUCUCACUAUGGCGAUCUUGACCAUUCAACUCCCCCCUAAUUGCCCUUUUCCUUGCUGUUACCUUGUUGCAGGUUGUUGUUUGCAUUGAUCCUACCCUUAGCCAACAAACGGCAAGAUUAUGAGCUGAUGUUGCCUUGUAGCUUCCCAGGCGUAUUUUCUUUGCUUUCUGAACAAUAAAUACUAUGAGUGAGAGAGAAGAAAUAUAUAUAUAUAUACACGAGAACGAAACAAUGGUGAAACUUUUCAAGGACGAAGUACAAAAUAAUAAAACUAUAUUACCGGUUGCAAGUAUACACACAGAAUAAAAACUAUUUUGGUUAGAAGGUACUUAUUAGUUCUGUCAUCUUGUCAUAUAUGACUAUAUAUACAUGGGCCGCAUUGAAUGCCUUCUUUUGUAUCAUUAGUUGAAUAAAGGGGAUUUUGGAAGGAUACGUAUCACUAAUAACGUUGUGUAGCUCAGAAUCACUAACACAUGAAUUUUUUUCGUGUUUCUAUAAAAUCAUGAGAUUUCAGAAAUUACACAAGCAUUCGGUGAAUUAAAUUUCAAAUUGUUUUCACAAAAUUGUUGAUUGGGCCGAAGCCUUGGAUGACAGCCAUGGCGGUUUCGAGGAGGGCAGUGUACAUCAAGGUUGGCUCGCCCUGGUCUUGUACUGUUGUGUGUGAGUCGUGGACAUUGCUGGUUCUUUGGUGGGUUUUGGUUUUGCAAGGCUAUGAUGCAGCGUAAAGCCAAUUUAAAGCAGGAGAAGGUGGUUGGAAACUUGCAGGCGUACGCGUGGUGGAAGAAUAAGGCAUACGUGACGUGGCCAUGGACGAGGCUUUUACUAAGGAACCUUUCUGUUUACCCUGAAAAUGUCCAUACCCAAGAAUUGGCUUGAGAAUGAAUCUAUGAGUUGCGAGCUUGUCACUAUUAGCAGCGUAAAACCCCUAAUCUUAGAUGUCACAGUCCCUAAUCUUAGAUGUCACGGUCCUUACCAAAGAAGGAAAAAUGAGGUUUUUAUAAAUAUCAAAAUCUCACACAUGUUAAAAUGGAAGUU
rnacentral:lncRNA from 1 species